GUGCUCGCCACGUCGGCACAUAUACUAAAAUUGGAUCUAUACAGAGAAGAUUUAGCAUGGCCCCUGUAAAAGGAUGGCACGCUAAUCCGUGAAGCGCUCAAUCUUUUA
ensembl:snRNA U6 U6 spliceosomal RNA